CUUGCUUGACGCGUGCUCUGACUCAGACACCGAACGCCGGAGGGAGACAAAGCAAGGGAGCGUCCACCCCCAGGUUGGGGGUGGGGGGGGGGAAGCUGGGACCCAGGUUCCCGGCUUCUGUUUCCCUGCCCGCCUGGUGGCCUCUGAGGCAGUUCCCUGGACCCCCGAGAGGGGCUGACAGGCCCACCCUAACCUGGAGCCCCCGGGGUGCCACACGGCCUGUCCCUUCCAGAGCUUUAAGACCACCAGGCACAGGCCCCAGAGGGCUCCCUUGACCCGCUCCCCUGCAGAGGGCACCGGAUCAGAGACCUUGGCCGUCACGGUCAGCAGUUGCAGUAAAUAGGGCACCAGGUUCCCUCAUCCAUGGGAAAGGGCCUGCCUCCGCCACGGCCGCCCCCAUCCUCCCGCCUUCCCCCCCCCCCCCCCGGGAUAGUAAACACUGACGACCUUGGACCCGUCCCAGCUCCGCCUCUGGCCAGCAGUGUCACCCAAAGUGACCCUCACCUGUGUCAUGGGACAAUAACACCCCCUCUGGGGGCCGAUGAGGAUAAGACAAAAUAUCCCAGCUCUGGACUCGGGGGUCCAGAGAGUCUGGAUGUGAGGCCCCACUCUACCCCUUCCUAGCAGCAUACUCUCAAGUGAUUGCACGAAACUCUGAGCCUCAGUUUCCCCAGCUGUUAAAUGGGCAUAAUAACUGUAACUUCUCAGGGGGCUGGGAAGGUCAGACGGGAUGCUGUGAGCAAGGCAUCUGGCACCCAGCGGGGACACGUUUGCUCUGUCCCGGGCCUUCCGUGAGGCUGUGUUGGCACAACAGGUGGGCGGGGAGCUCACUGCCCCCCACGGCAGCUGGCUCCUGAUGCCCAGCCCUGGGCUGGCUCCAGGGAGAGCUAUCUCUGGGAGGAACACAGGACAGCUGGGGGGCAGGAUGGGGGAGCGCACAGUGACCCAAGCAGCCCUCACACAAGGUCAAGGACACGCAGUCACCCAGACCAAGGUGGAGAGAGGAUUAGCCCUACACUGCCCUCAGGGCUGACCUUCAACACAGCCGGGCUGGAGCCUAGAAGCUGAAAUCACCCCACCCGGCCCCUUGACUACCUCCGGCUCACCCAUCCUGGGAUGGUGCGACCCCCAGACCUUCCCACCCCGCCGAGGGGCUCCCAGACCUGGGUCUGGAUUUCUCUCUGGUCAUUGCUCCCGCCGGUGGGACCCGUCCUCCCCCAGUGCUGACGCCCUAAUGCUACACAAACUCUCCCCCAGAGCUCUGCUGCUGGCCUGGAGCUGGGCAGGGGCAGAGGAUCCCCUCGAGCUGAGAAAACCCUGAGUCAGCUGACCCCAUCCCAGUGAACUACCAGAAAGCUUCCUCCUCGGGGUGAAAAGGGAACUUGAGAUGGAGACGAAGUCCAGAGGGAGUGAAAUAAAGAACGUGACUUUUUCCUGC